rnacentral:rRNA from 1 species
GUUAGGAAUAUUGGACAAUGGGCGAAAGCCUGAUCCAGCCAUGCCGCGUGAACGAUGAAGGCCUUCGGGUUGUAAAGUUCUUUAGCCGAUGAUUAUAAUGACUGUAGUCGGAAAAUAAGCCCCGGCUAACUUCGUGCCAGCAGCCGCGGUAAUACGAAGGGGGCGAGCGUUAUUAGGAAUCACUGGGCGUAAAGCGUGCGUAGGCGGUUUUGUAAGUUAGGAGUGAAAGCCCAGGGCUCAGCCUUGGAAUUGCUCGUAAAACUGCAAGGCUCGAAUCUCGGAGAGGAUAGCGGAAUUUCCAGUGUAGCAGUGAAAUGCGUAGAUAUUGGAAGGAACACCAGUGGCGUAAGCGGCUAUCUGGACGAGUAUUGACGCUGAGGCACGAAAGCGUGGGGAUCAAACAGGAUUAGAUACCCCAGUAGUCC